AAAAAAGAAAAAAAAGAAAAAAACAAAAAAACACACACAUAUGGCCAUGCCUCAUCUACCAUCAUCCUUGAUGUAGAGCUAAACAAGCAAGCAUCAUACUCAAACCAUUGUUCAAAGCAAAUGAUGUGCCAACUGUCAUCAUUUUUGCACAAAAAUCCUCCAUGUGUCCUUUUUCAAAGUUAUCAUUGUUUAAAAUUCUCUCUAGUAAUUUUUUUUUAUAUUGGAUAAUUGUGAGUUGGAGUGAGCAGUAUUUGGUUUAGACCGAACUAACUGACCAAACUGAAUCAAUUCGGAUAUUCGGUUUUGGUUUUAAAUUUUGAAAUUUUCGUUUUAUUCGGUUUGGUUUGGUUUUGAAAACAAAAAAGAAAUUUUAGAAAACUGAACUAAACCGAAUUAGUGAAAUAUGUCGUUUUAUCACAAAGCCUUUGUUCCAUAAUAUCCCUUAUAUAUAAAAGCAUCUUUUAUUUCAAAUAUUCACAUGCUAUUUGCAGCCACCACUCACCUUCAAUUUUCUCCUCCCCCUCUUCUUCUUCUUCCUCUUCAAAUUCAACACUCUCUGACACCAACCAUGGCCAUAGUCACGGGCCAACAACAAUAGACCUACUCAGCCAUUUCUGUCUCCUUUACUCUCUUGAAACCUCGAGGUCCAGAUGACUCAAUCUACCCAUUGAUUAUGAGACGCACCGCCUUCAAUUCGAGACCUCGAUGAUUGAAGCUGCUGUUGCCUCCACUCCCUCACUUUCUUACCUCAAUCAGAGAGAUGCAACACUUGGAUGCAUGCAUGCACUCCCUUGCCUCACCUUUCGAGGUCUUCUGAUCUUGCCUAUAUAUUUUGGCUUUUGGAUGUUUAUUUAUUUCUUUUAUUAUGUUUUGGGUAUUUCUUGAAUGGCUUUUGCAAUCUGUGAGCCUUAAAUGGAAUGCGAUCAGUUUUGGGAACCAUUCAAAUUGCUAUCCUGAUUAUGGAUUGGGUGUGUUUUGCGGUUGUUUGUUUUGCAUCUGUAAUGGAUUUUCAUUUUGUGCAUGCUUGAAUUUUUCGGUGUCGGAUGGAAAUUUUUGGACAUUCAGAAUCAGUGCGUUGAUGUUGAAUUUGGUUUGUUCCAAAUCAAACUGAACUGAAUUAGUGCAGUUCGGUUUCCUUAGUAGUUUGGUUUGGUUCGUUAUGUGACACUAAGGAUUUUGAUUAAUUUGGUUUAGGCGAUUCAAUUCGGUUUGGUUUCAACCGAAUGCUCGCCCCUACUUCUAUGCAUUUAUUUGUUUU
rnacentral:misc_RNA from 1 species